rnacentral:lncRNA from 1 species
ACAAGGGUGAUGCGCCGGACCCUGUCAGGAUGCCAGGCCGUCGUGGGCAGGUGAGGCCAUCGUGGGCAGGUGAGGCCAUUGUUGGGUGGUGGACGGUCCUGCGCUGUUGUCUGCCUGGAGAAGGCAAGGGUGGUGGGACUGCGACAGGGUCUCUGAGGGGACGGAGGAGCAGCAUGGAGCCGGAUGGCCACGGCCCUGAGCAGGGCUCGGGAGGAAUGAGACCUCGGCACUAGGCAGCCACGUUCCUGUUGGAGCCAUGCUAGCGACUGGAAGAAGAACCCAUGCGUGUAAUGGAACAGAGUAGGAAAAGGCAAAGUCAUACACUGUGAGGUCACCCGAAGAAGACAAACGUGCAAAUAACAUGCAAAUAAUGAAUCCUGAGAGCUCCACUGCAGAAAUCCAGUGACCCCUGCUUCACGGCCGAGCCCCGAGACCGCCGCAGGGCCGACCCCAGGGGCGGAUGUGGGAUGCUGCGUUCAGCUGCCGAGAGUUGGAUGUGCCGACGUUUUUUGAUGGUACCUGCGCUAGACACAGGCAUGACGCAUCAAGUGGAAUUCACAGCCAGGAGUUUCCAGAGGGGACUUAUUACUGGUGGGUGCCUUUAAGGAGAGGUGGGAUAGCUUCUCCACAGCAAGACGCUCCGGGUGCGUUCUUUAGUUUUCAUGAGGGGAUAUCGGCCGCCUCCCUCGGUGCCACUGCUAAUAAAGGCAUAGACAUGAACGGCACAGAAACCUGCACCCCACCUUCUUCUCAGUGAGCAGGGGGUGCUCAGGGCACCCUAAAGGCGGAUGGAAACCAUCUCGGCUGUUGGAGGGGAAAGUGCUGAGCUGCCUGCGACCUGCACCCCACCUUCUUCUCAGUGAGCAGGGGGUGCUCAGGGCACCCUAAAGGCGGAUGGAAACCAUCUCGGGGGCGGCGCGGGGAGUGCCGAGCUACCCACGACCUGCACCCCAGGUUCUUCUCAGUGAGCAGGGGAUACUCAGGGCACCCUAAAGGCGGAUGAAAACCAUCUCGGCUGUUGGAGGGGAAAGUGCUGAGCUGCCCACAACCUGCACCCCAGGUUCUUCUCAGUGAGCAGGGGGUGCUCAGGGCACCCUAAAGGCUGAUGGAAACCAUCUCGAAGGGGGAGUGCCGAGCUGCCCACGACCUGCACGUCCAGGUCAGCACUUCCUGAUGCAGAAGGUGAAACGUCCUUCCUGAUCUCAAAAACUGUCAGUACCCCGACCCAAAGGCCCGCUUAUUGCUGGCCACCUUUUAACGUUUGUUGAUUGAGAAUAAAAGC